rnacentral:lncRNA from 1 species
GAGGUGGCUAUCUGCCGGACGCCCUACUUGAUAGAGGCUAAGUUGACCCUGUCUUUCGAUGAGAUGGUGGUUAUCGUUUUUGGUGGAGUAGACUUUGAUGAUCCGACUACGAACCUGUGAGGACGUCGCGCCUUAGCAAUAGCUAAACCAGCUCCGAGAGGUUAUUGACCACGCCGGAGCACGAUCAACCUAACCACGAGGGUCUGUUUCCUGCACGCAAACGAAGAACAAGCAAGAAACUAAGAUUGCAAUCUGGAUAUUGCGAAUAUAAGAGGAAAGCUUUAUUGAUGAAAGUGGUGUUCUGUGACGCCUUUGUCUAGUCGUGGAACACAAACGAAGAACGCGAAGUUGCAGCUAUGGCGAACU